rnacentral:misc_RNA from 1 species
GGUGCAAAUCUUCAACGGGCUUAUCUACGACAAGUCAAUCUUCAGAACACACAUUUGGAAAAUACAAAGCUUGAUGGUGCCAAUUUGCUUGGAGCAAUUCGAUGAAAUGGAUUUACUCACAGCAAAGCAUAUCUGCUUUGCUCCAAUUUCAUAUCCAUUUUUUUCUUCUGGAUGUAGAAUUCAGUGCAUGUUGUGGAUGGGUUGACUGAAUCAAUUUGAAGGACUUGUUGGCAUGUGGUUUGUAGUAUGUAAAUAAAUGUUUGGUAAAAGGCUAAAUAAAUUUCUAGAUUUUCUUGCAUUAAAAAAAAAUGGAUAUGAAAUGGAUUUACU